CCUACGGGUGGCAGCAGUGGGGAAUAUUGGACAAUGGGCGAAAGCCUGAUCCAGCCAUGCCGCGUGUGUGAAGAAGGCCUUCGGGUUGUAAAGCACUUUCAGUGGGGAAGAAAGCCUUGGGGCUAAUACCCUCGAGGAAGGACAUCACCCACAGAAGAAGCACCGGCUAACUCCGUGCCAGCAGCCGCGGUAAUACGGAGGGUGCGAGCGUUAAUCGGAAUUACUGGGCGUAAAGCGCGCGUAGGCGGUCUGAUAAGCCGGUUGUGAAAGCCCCGGGCUCAACCUGGGAACGGCAUCCGGAACUGUCAGGCUAGAGUGCAGGAGAGGAAGGGAGAAUUCCCGGUGUAGCGGUGAAAUGCGUAGAGAUCGGGAGGAAUACCAGUGGCGAAGGCGGCCUUCUGGACUGACACUGACGCUGAGGUGCGAAAGCGUGGGUAGCAAACAGGAUUAGAUACCCGAGUAGUC
rnacentral:rRNA from 1 species